AUUGAACGCUGGCGGCAGGCUUAACACAUGCAAGUCGAGCGGGGAAGGGUAGCUUGCUACCUGACCUAGCGGCGGACGGGUGAGUAAUGCUUAGGAAUCUGCCUAUUAGUGGGGGACAACAUUCCGAAAGGAAUGCUAAUACCGCAUACGCCCUACGGGGGAAAGCAGGGGACCUUCGGACCUUGCGCUAAUAGAUGAGCCUAGGUCAGAUUAGCUAGUUGGUGGGGUAAAGGCCUACCAAGGCGACGAUCUGUAGCGGGUCUGAGAGGAUGAUCCGCCACACUGGGACUGAGACACGGCCCAGACUCCUACGGGAGGCAGCAGUGGGGAAUAUUGGACAAUGGGCGAAAGCCUGAUCCAGCCAUGCCGCGUGUGUGAAGAAGGCCUUUUGAUUGUAAAGCACUUUAAGCGAGGAGGAGGCUACCGAGAUUAAUACUCUUGGAUAGUGGACGUUACUCGCAGAAUAAGCACCGGCUAACUCUGUGCCAGCCGCCGCCGUAACAC
rnacentral:rRNA from 1 species